AAAAAAAAUAAAGAAUUUUCUUUAAAACUUUAGGCUAAGCUGAAAAAAAGUUAAAAAUUAUAAACAAAUAUUAAAUAUUAUAAAAAAUAUAUAAACAAAUAAAAAUAAACAGAAAUUAAAACAAUCUUCAAAAACCGGAUUUCCAAUUGACCAAUAUUUUAUAUACAAUUUUAUUGUUUGAAAGCGGCAAAACAGGUUUGUU